rnacentral:rRNA from 1 species
GAGUUUGAUCAUGGCUCAGAUUGAACGCUGGCGGCAUGCUUUACACAUGCAAGUCGAGCGGCAGCGCGGGGCAACCUGGCGGCGAGCGGCGAACGGGUGAGUAAUGCAUCGGAACAUGUCCAUGUCGUGGGGGAUAGCCCGGCGAAAGCCGGAUUAAUACCGCAUACGCCCGAGAGGGGAAAGUGGGGGACCGCAAGGCCUCACGCGAUUGGGUUGGCCGAUGUCCGAUUAGCUAGUUGGCGGGGUAAUGGCCCACCAAGGCGAUGAUCGGUAGCUGGUCUGAGAGGAUGAUCAGCCACACUGGGACUGAGACACGGCCCAGACUCCUACGGGAGGCAGCAGUGGGGAAUUUUGGACAAUGGGGGCAACCCUGAUCCAGCCAUGCCGCGUGUGUGAAGAAGGCCUUC